rnacentral:rRNA from 1 species
UACGGCCAUACCAACCAUUCUGCGCCCGAUCUCGGAAGCUAAGCAGGGUCGGGCCUGGUUAGUACUUGGAUGGGAGACCGCCUGGGAAUACCAGGUAGGUGCUGUAU